AAGUAAUGCACCAAAAAGGAUAAUAAAUAGACAACCAACCUUCAGUUAUAUAAAUUAUAGAAAUUUAUAAUUGUGAAAGUAUAAAGAAACAAACCAGAACUUAGAUUAGUGGAGAAAGAGAAUAGUAAAUUUUUAAAGCCGCCAAGACAGCAAGCAAUAACGAUUGUAAUAUCCAAAAACUCCAACUAUCAAGAAUGACUAUCUGUUUAAGAGGGUGUUUUAUAUUCUCAGUUGGAUCUGAACAAAACAAGAGUAACAAACAUAUUGUAAUUUGUAUCCACAAAAAAUCAAACAACCUUCAUGACAUGUAGCAUUUCAAUGUCCUAUAACAGGGAUGCUUUUAAGUUUAAACCAGGGCAGGAAGAGUUAAGAUAACAUUAUCAUUAUACCCAAUAUUCUUCUCUUGUACCCAAAGAGAAAACGCAGUGUACGCAUGACUGGAAUAUCAAGUAUCAACUCAAACAAAC
rnacentral:lncRNA from 1 species